GCUGGUAUGCAUUCCAACUCUUCCCUAUUAGGUUAAUAUUUAUACUUCUAUUCGGGCCUUUUAACAUAUCCGGCUUGUAAGUUAUUUUCUCUUUAUAAUUGAUAUGUCAGUUGACAGGUAUUUAAUGCCUGAAAAGUUUAUAACUGCAAAUUACAUGUCUAUUGAUAUUGAUCUUUAAUUUGUCGGGUCAUAGGUUUCUCGAUGGUACUUCCAUUAUUUUCAGCAAAUGGUCUCUUGUCCCGGCUUACUUCCAUAUUUCUCGGUUUUGCUCCCACAUUUCUUCUAUUAUCUAUCGGGUACAGUCCAUCCAUAUGCUAACUUUUAUGGUUGCCUUCAUUUAACAGUUUUUUUAAUAUGCAUAAUGUUAGGAUGAUUUUUUUGAUCUUUUCCUUCAUUCUCAAAACAUAUGCAGAUAUGAAGCUGUUUUCUACGGUGCUCUGGCCCUUGUACUCAUCUCUUGGAUACUAGUUGAAAACACACUUAUUUACUCAAGUAAGGUGAAAAGGUUGUCAAGUUCCUUUAGCGAUAUGGAGGAUA
rnacentral:lncRNA from 1 species